CCCUUAGAUGUUCUGGGCUGCACACGUGCUACACUGGCAGGUUCAGCGAGCUUCAUGCCCUGAUCUGAAAGGAAUGGGAAAUCUUUUCAAAACCUGCCGUGCUUGGGAUAGAUGUUUGCAAUUAUUCAUCUUCAACGAGGAUUGCCUUGUAAGCGCACGUCAUCAGCGUGCAUUGAAUACGACCCUGUAUUCUGUACACACCGCCCGUCGCUCCUACCGAUUGAAGUUUUCGGUGAGUUGACAGGAGGAUUUUUUUGAAACUGGUUCGCCAGUGGAUUUUAGAUCCAAAUGCCAACGAAUCGAUGGCUUUAGAGGAAGGAGGAGUCGUAACA
rnacentral:rRNA from 1 species